CCUACGGGAGGCAGCAGUGGGGAAUAUUGCACAAUGGGGGAAACCCUGAUGUAGCGACGCCGCGUGAGUGAAGAAGUAUUUCGGUACGUAAAGCUCUAUCAGCAGGGAAGAAAAUGACGGUACCUGACUAAGAAGCCCCGGCUAACUACGUGCCAGCAGCCGCGGUAAUACGUAGGGGGCAAGCGUUAUCCGGAUUUACUGGGGGUAAAGGGAGCGUAGACGGCAGCGCAAGUCUGGAGUGAAAUCCCAUGGCUUAACCAUGGAACUGCUUUGGAAACUGUGCAGCUAGAGUGCAGGAGAGGUAAGCGGAAUUCCUAGUGUAGCGGUGAAAUGCGUAGAUAUUAGGAGGAACACCAGUGGCGAAGGCGGCUUACUGGACUGUAACUGACGUUGAGGCUCGAAAGCGUGGGGAGCAAACAGGAUUAGAUACCCGUGUAGUC
rnacentral:rRNA from 1 species